ACAUUGAUUCAUUUAUUUAGAUUUUCUACUCUAUCUUAGGUCAACUUUAAUCAUUUGUAUUGUAGGAAAUGUAUCCAUUUCAUCUAUGUUUUCAGGUGGAUUAGUACAAAGUUGUUAUAGUAUUCUCAUAAUUUUCUUUUAUCUUUCACAUAUUUGUGUCUAUGACCUUUCAUUCAUUCCUCAUGUUGUUUUGUGAUCUCUUUUUGUUCCUUGGUCAAUCUUGCCAAGGGUUUUAUUUUAUUCAGUUAACAACAAAAAUAAAAAAUGGGGAAAUUCUGUGGGGCUGAUAAACUCCAUCCAUUCAAUAUAUAUGUAUUAUGCACUCUAUGCCAGGCACUGAUCUAUGGCUAAAUGUUGCUGAUUGGUGGGGUGACCACAUGACCCAAUUUAUGCCUAUUUUCAGCUGUAAUAAUUAACAACACUCUCUUACUCUCUUUUACUAAGUGUCCAAGACUGUAAAAUAAGUUACAUGAUCAACCCACUGAUGGUUCAAAUAAAAUUAAAGUUGAAAUAUACAAAUGGUGGUCUUUACAAGAUAUGUUUUGGUGAAGUGCUGAAGACAGAAGCCUGAUUAGGUUUCUUUUUUCUUCUUCUUCUUCUUCUUUUUUUUUUUUAAUGGAGAACGACUGGAGACAGUGAGAAUAUGCAAGUAUUUUGAAGAAUUCUGCUACAGGAGACAGGAGAAAUGAGAGCUGGAAAUUGAAGAAUGCAAUGAAAAGCGAGAGUCAGAGAAAUCCCUGCCACGUGGCACACAGAUGUACAACUCUGGGCAAAGGUUUCCACAAAUACCAUUUCUUCACUCCAAAGUCCAUCUAUGUGUAUUUCCUGAAAUACAGAAUGCUGCAUGUCUGUCUGCUGGUCUCUUAUCCUAGGAGCCUCAGCAGCAGAGGCAGAAGGAGCUCCUAUAACUCUGGAGAUAAAAGACUGGCUCACACAGGCUGAUGCUGCUUAGGGGCACUCAUGGACUUUAUUUACUGUUCUUUAUUCAAACGUACAUAGUGUCUGCACUGACAGAGGCAGCCCAGAAAAGAGAAACUGUGUCUAUUGUAACUUUUACUUAAGUGGUGUAAAUGAAAAGAUCAUCACCCAAAGAUUUGGUGAGAUUUCCAUUCAGAGAAAGAGAAUGAGUUCAAACAAACAAAAGAAGACAAGAUCUGGGAUUAGGUUUGAUGGUCUGAAACAUACAAGGAAGAAAAUAAAAUUUCUGAUUCCAUA